rnacentral:rRNA from 1 species
AUUGAACGCUGGCGGCAUGCCUUACACAUGCAAGUCGAACGGCAGCACGGGAGCAAUCCUGGUGGCGAGUGGCGAACGGGUGAGUAAUAUAUCGGAACGUGCCCAGUCGUGGGGAUAACGUAGCGAAAGCUACGCUAAUACCGCAUACGAUCUAUGGAUGAAAGCGGGGGAUCGCAAGACCUCGCGCGAUUGGAGCGGCCGAUAUCAGAUUAGGUAGUUGGUGAGGUAAAGGCUCACCAAGCCGACGAUCUGUAGCUGGUCUGAGAGGACGACCAGCCACACUGGGACUGAGACACGGCCCAGACUCCUACGGGAGGCAGCAGUGGGGAAUAUUGGACAAUGGGCGAAAGCCUGAUCCAGCAAUGCCGCGUGAGUGAUGAAGGCCUUCGGUUGGUAAA